rnacentral:tRNA from 1 species
GCUCAUGUAGCUUAAAUCAAAGCAUAGCACUGAAGAUGCUAAGAUGAAUCCUAAAAAAUUCCAUAAGCA